rnacentral:misc_RNA from 1 species
GAUGAAGAACGCAGCGAAAUGCGAUAAGUAAUGUGAAUUGCAGAAUUCAGUGAAUCAUCGAAUCUUUGAACGCACAUUGCGCCCUCUGGUAUUCCGGGGGGCAUGCCUGUUCGAGCGUCAUUAUAACCACUCAAGCUCUCGCAUGGUAUUGGAGUUCGCGAUCUCGCGGCUCCUAAAAUCAGUGGCGGUGCCUGUCGGCUCUACGCGUAGUAAUACUCCUCGCGAUUGAGUCCGGUAGGUUUACUUGCCAGCAACCCCCAAUUUUUACAGGUUGACCUCGGAUCAGGUAGGGAUACCCGCUGAACUUAAGCAUAUCAAUAAGCGGAGGA